AAUCCAGGUCUCCUGCCCCCUCUUCCUUUCAAUGACUCACACUCCAAUGAAUGAGACGUGUGGGGAACCCGAAGGGUGUUGAGCUCCGCAGACGAACUAGACAGUACUGGGGGCGGCUCCAGGACGCCAGGCUCUGAAGACUGGGAGAGGCUCGGGGGUUGUUGGCCCUCCAGGCUCCAGCUCAGCCUGGCAGGGGGGGUCACUGUCAACCGCAAGGAGCAGACACAGGCGUUGGCCCUUCGGGUUUGAUAGUGUGGAGCUAUUAUCCUCCAGAUGAGAGAAGAAUAAGGGAGAGAAAGCCGCGGAAAGAUUCUGGAGCCGACUGCCUGGAUUUGAAGCCAGAUGUUCAAGUUUGAACAAUAUGCACAUCGUGUUGUAGGAGAUCUUCAUCAUCCCGCAGAGAGACCGAGUGCGUGUCCCUGGAGGAGCGUACGGGAUGUGAGCUGCAAAUACCAGGGUCUGUCAUGUGCAGGAGGGCUUGUGUGUCCCGGUGCCCUGUGCUUGCUCCUACCCGCUGGAUGGAUGGAAUCACUCAGGCCCACUCUACAUCUUCUGGUUCCUGGAAGGGGCCAACCUACAACAGGAUCUUCCGGUAGAUACGAACAAACCAGGUCAAAAGCUACAAAAGAGGACCUGGGGUCACUUCCUUAUUGUCGGGGAUCCCCAGACCAGCAAGUCUUCCCUGAACCUCAGACACGCCAGGAAGAAAGGUGGCAGGGUAUACUUACCCUGUAAUUGGAGAGAGACUCUUAAGUUCUCCUGGAUAUGGGACACCCUUAUCUCCUUGAGCCCUGAAACAGGUCCCUUGUCAGAGGUCACCAUCAUUUUACAGCCCUGGUACCACGCCACCACUGUCACCUGCCAGGUAACCUUACUGGGGUUCCUUGUGACCACAGAAAUAACCAUCCAGCUCAAUGUCUCACGUGAGUGCUGGGCCAGGACUCCUGGGUUGUUGCGGGCAGUGGCUGUGUUGUGACCGGAAUAACCAGACUCAACCUGAGUGCUUUGAUUAUAGAGGCAGUUUAUUAGCUCCUUCCAAAAGGAGCAGCCCCGAAAUGCCAAGAUACAAGGUUUUGAAGCCCUAAAUCCCAUCCCUCAUUCUGUCUUAAACACAAAGGUCCAUCUUUCUCCUAAGUGUCGUAUAUAUGCUGUCCUGAAUCUUUUUCAAAUUAACAAUAAUUCUUGGGAAUCUUGCUGUGUUAAUAAAGAACUUCAUCCUUUGUUUUUUACAACUGCAAAGCAGUCCACUGUGUCGUAAUGUCUUUAAAUAAUCAUGUGCCCAUGGAAAAAAUAUCUUCUACUUAUAAACACCAGUGCGAUGAAUAACGUUCACCUAUUUUGUAAGGAUGCCAAAAUAUCUAUGAUUUUGAAUUCCUCAGUCAGAGGGCACAUGCAUGACCAAUUGUGAUAGAUAGGGCCAAAUGGCUUUCCAAGAGGUCGUAUAAGCACAAAACAGAUAAAAUAAUAAAACGCUAAUGACCGCC